CGGCGUGCCUAAACAUGCAAGUCGAGCGAACGGACGAGAAGCUUGCUUCUCUGAUGUUAGCGGCGGACGGGUGAGUAACACGUGGAUAACCUACCUAUAAGACUGGGAUAACUUCGGGAAACCGGAGCUAAUACCGGAUAAUAUUUUGAACCGCAUGGUUCAAAAGUGAAAGACGGUCUUGCUGUCACUUAUAGAUGGAUCCGCGCUGCAUUAGCUAGUUGGUAAGGUAACGGCUUACCAAGGCAACGAUGCAUAGCCGACCUGAGAGGGUGAUCGGCCACACUGGAACUGAGACACGGUCCAGACUCCUACGGGAGGCAGCAGUAGGGAAUCUUCCGCAAUGGGCGAAAGCCUGACGGAGCAACGCCGCGUGAGUGAUGAAGGUCUUCGGAUCGUAAAACUCUGUUAUUAGGGAAGAACAUAUGUGUAAGUAACUGUGCACAUCUUGACGGUACCUAAUCAGAAAGCCACGGCUAACUACGUGCCAGCAGCCGCGGUAAUACGUAGGUGGCAAGCGUUAUCCGGAAUUAUUGGGCGUAAAGCGCGCGUAGGCGGUUUU
rnacentral:rRNA from 1 species